AAAUGGCGGCGCCCAUGUUAUAACAUGAUAGCGGGAAGAAGUGGUAUAAAAGAUUCUUUCAAGGUAAGUAAAAUGUAUUGUAUAUACAAGAAAUAUUUCUUUACUCAAGCGUGAUAAGCCUCAUGCCUCGUACACACUGGAUUCCUUGGCAUUAGCUUUUAAAAUGUCGUUUAACAGCAAUAACAGUAAGUCAGAGUUCCAGACUAUCAUGUCAGGGUUCUCUGUUGCCAUAGAAUGAAAUCUACAUCUAAGCUUUCUGUAUAAUGCGCACCUCUCUAGCUUUUAUCAAAGUCACCACAACAGUAGUACAUCAUCAUCUACAUCACAGAGGCACAUUUAAGUAGCUGUCAAAAUAAACAGUAAAUUUGAAAUCAUGUGACCGCAUUACAUUUUCCAAAGAACAAGUUUCACGAUCCAAUAACGUACCGCCGUAUUACGUUUAACCUUUCAGGUGUAGAUGAGCAACAUUCACAUGGACCCGACUCAGUUAUAUCGAUGUAAGACCACGCAUUCAGCAGUUUUCAGCGGAAGAGGACGAAUGCAGGAUAAAUGCUGAUAAUUGUUCCGGUGCCUGACUGACGCUGGAUUUUGUCGUAUUAAACAGUUAUACAGGAGAUUGGACGUUGAUACAGUAAACCAGGCAGCGGAAGUGGUAAACCAUUCAUCUCAUAGCAACGAGACUGUCAUAUAUGGCAACUGUGGAAACAUUUCAUUGAGGAUAAGUUUUAAAAAAUCACAAUGUUUCGAAAUACCUGUAUCGCAGAUUCCGAUUCACGUCUGAUGAACCAGGGUUCAUGUUCGUUAGAGUGUCUGCAGCAGAUGCCAAGGAAGCAAGAUUUGUAAUUGCAAGACACAUCUUCUUAAAACGGGCCUAUAUGAUGUCCAACCGGAAGUCGCUCCCACAGGACUCUGCGCUGAAUGGCAGCAGUAUCUAUUUAGGCAUGUGCACCUGUAAGCGCAACAGCUGUUGCAGGAAUGAUUUAAUCGGGUUCAGAUAAACUAAUAGUUAAGAAUAUAGUUUUUAUUAUGUUGAUACAAACUAAAAUACUUCGUCCUGUACCUGUAUAUAAUAGGAUGUAGCGAUGAUAUAUGGAAUUGAUUAACGUAGCAUCGCCGCUUCGGAAUCGCGUUAGUGAAGCAAAUAAGUUUGGGAUUUGAUUUCUGUCUGUUUUGUAUCUUAUGAAAAAGAAAACUGGUUGAGAAAAAAAAAACGAGAUUAUUGUUUGUGGAAUUUUGGAGAAAUCAUGUGUAUUUCAUGCACGGAUCAAUCCAAUUUUCUCAAAGGGGGUCUGACCGAACCCUCACUAUGACAAACAUGUGUCUCUAUGUGUACUACUAUGACAAAGUUGUGUCUUAUGUAUACACUUAGUAAUUUGAUAUGACUUUUGUUGACGCCAGCCGUUUACAAGUAAAGGGUUGCCAUUUAGAUUUUGUUGAACAGGCUGAAAUAGAAAAGUAGCCGACCAGCUUAGGAGUCCGGGGGCAUAGCCACCAAGCCUCCACCACUCCCGCCCGGAAAAGUUUGAAAUUCAGCGCUUCAUUUUCUGCAUUCUGGUGCAUUUUAGGAGCAUUUAAGAACACCUUUCCCACUGCAAUUUUAUAUAAAAAAAAUAUAUCGCUUGUUCACACAUUUUAUGAGCUGAACAAUUAAAUUUGGAAAA
rnacentral:lncRNA from 1 species